rnacentral:sRNA from 1 species
UGUGCAUGCUCAUAAAUACACAAAGAAUUUGAUAAAGACAUUCAGAAUAUUGUUUUAAAAAAUAGUAUGCUCCCGGCGUUAUUGCCUAGGCUGACUGCAAAGGAAAUGGAAACUCCUGUCAUCUGCUCACUGAUCAAUAUCUGGGUGACUUGGUCGAGAGUUUAGGGUUGCAAAAGGUGAUAAGGUGCCUCACUUGUCUUCACUGGAUGCAGAUUAAAAUAACUCAUCUCCUGAUGGUAGUGGUGAGAUUUGCUACAAUUGGAUUAGCAGCAUUUUAAACUGUAGACUUACUGGAAGCAAAUUCACUAAUACCAAAAGAAGAGAUGAAUUAGUUGUAACACCUUGUGGUUGUGCUUCCAAGCAGGAAAGACAGCUGCCGUCCCGUGAUGCAUUUUGGAUUCAACGUGAAAAGCAACGGUUCAGUCUUUCAUGGGAAAGCUCUGAGGAAGCUUUGUCUUGUCUCCUGAACUAUCUCCUGA